rnacentral:rRNA from 1 species
GACGAACGCUGGCGGCGUGCUUAACACAUGCAAGUCGAACGGAAAGGCCCGGCUUUUGUGGGGUGCUCGAGUGGCGAACGGGUGAGUAACACGUGAGUAACCUGCCCUUGACUUUGGGAUAACUUCAGGAAACUGGGGCUAAUACCGGAUAGGAGCUCCUGCUGCAUGGUGGGGGUUGGAAAGUUUCGGCGGUUGGGGAUGGACUCGCGGCUUAUCAGCUUGUUGGUGGGGUAGUGGAUUACCAAGGCUUUGACGGGUAGCCGGCCUGAGAGGGUGACCGGGCACAAGGGGACUGAGAUACGGCCCAGACUGCUAUGGGAGGCAGAAGUGGGGAAUAUUGCACAGUGGGCGGAAGCCUGAUGCAGCAACGCCGCGUGCGGGAUGACGGCCUUCGGGUUGUAAACCGCUUUCGCCUGUGACGAAGCGUGAGUGACGGUAAUGGGUAAAGAAGCACCGGCUAACUACGUG